UGGGGAAUAUUGCACAAUGGAGGGAACUCUGAUGCAGCGACGCCGCGUGAGUGAUGAAGGACUUCGUUUCGUAAAACUCUGUUCUAUGGGAAGAAAAGGACUGUACCAUAGGAGAAAGCUCCGGCUAAAUACGUGCCAGCAGCCGCGGUAAUACGUAUGGAGCGAGCGUUGUCCGGAAUUAUUGGGCGUAAAGGGUGCGCAGGCGGCUGUACAAGUUGGAUGUGAAAUAUUGUGGCUCAACCACAAACGUGCAUCCAAAACUGCAAAGCUUGAGUUAAGGAGAGGUAAGUGGAAUUCCUGGUGUAGCGGUGGAAUGCGUAGAUAUCAGGAGGAAUACCGGUGGGGAAGGCGACUUACUGGACUUAAACUGACGCUCAGGCACGAAAGCGUGGGGAGCAAACAGG
rnacentral:rRNA from 1 species